UACGUAGGGGGCAAGCGUUGUCCGGAAUCAUUGGGCGUAAAGCGCGCGUAGGCGGCCCGGUAAGUCCGUUGUGAAAGUCAAAGGCUCAACCUUUGAACGCCGAUGGAUACUGCCGGGCUAGAGUCCGGAAGAGGCGAGUGGAAUUCCUGGUGUAGCGGUGGAAUGCGCAGAUAUCAGGAGGAACACCAAUAGCGAAGGCAGCUCGCUGGGACGGUACUGGACGCUGAGGCGCGAAAGCGUGGGGGAGCGAACAGGG
rnacentral:rRNA from 1 species